rnacentral:rRNA from 1 species
AGCAGCCGCGGUAAUUCCAGCUCCAAUAGCGUAUAUUAAAGUUGUUGCAGUUAAAAAGCUCGUAGUUGAAUUUCGGGGUUUAUCCGUCGGUCGGGCUUUCGGGUCUGUACUGGCGUGAUGGAUUCCUACCUUCUGAAUAACCGGCAUGUCAUUAAUUUGGUGCGCCGGGGAAGCAGGACUGUUACCUUGAAAAAUUAGAGUGCUUAAAGCAGGCUUAUGCCUGAAUACAUUAGCAUGGAAUAAUGAAAUAGGACGGCAUGGUUCUAUUUUGUUGGUUUCUAGGAUCACCGUAAUGAUUAAUAGGGAUAGUUGGGGGCAUUAGUAUUCAAUUGUCAGAGGUGAAAUUCUUGGAUUUAUUGAAGACUAACUUCUGCGAAAGCAUUUGCCAAGGAUGUUUUCAUUAAUCAAGAACGAAAGUUAGGGGAUCGAAGACGAUCAGAUACCGUCGUA